rfam:Schistosoma haematobium scaffold104_16, whole genome shotgun sequence.
AUCCAGCUGACGAGUCCCAAGUAGGACAAGACGCGUGUCUUGCAU